UUAGGUUAUGGUGAUAUGGUUCCAGGAACUGUUAUGGGAAAAAUAGUUGGUGGGAUAUGUUCACUUUCUGGUGUAUUGGUAAUCGCAUUACCUGUUCCUGUCAUUGUAUCAAAU
rfam:Strongyloides venezuelensis genome assembly, scaffold: SVE_scaffold0000007